rnacentral:rRNA from 1 species
UACGUAGGGUGCGAGCGUUGUCCGGAAUUAUUGGGCGUAAAGGGCUCGUAGGCGGUCUGUUACGUCGGGAGUGAAAACUCGGGGCUCAACCCCGAGCCUGCUUCCGAUACGGGCAGACUAGAGGUAUGCAGGGGAGAAUGGAAUUCCUGGUGUAGCGGUGAAAUGCGCAGAUAUCAGGAGGAACACCGGUGGCGAAGGCGGGUCUCUGGGCCGAAAUUGACGCUGAGGAGCGAAAGCGUGGGGAGCAAACAGG